rnacentral:lncRNA from 1 species
GGUCUAAUUUGUUCAAUGUCUCUGUGAACUGGAAGAAGGACGAAUCUGAUGGACUGGAUCAGGUGUGGAACUUGUAACACAAAUACGAUAAUCAAACACAUUUCUUAAUUGCAAAUCAAUAAUCUAUCCGUGCUUGUGUCUCAGCUGGUGGACAUCAUGAUGAUGGGUUUCCAGAACAAAUUCUACAACGCCAGCAAGAAGGAGCCAGGACAGAGCUCUAAACCAGGCUCGGGGGAAUAUCGUAUCAACAUGUCCAGUGACACACCCCACUGGUAUAUCAGAGACUACCUGGCCAGAGUCAGCGGCCACUAUGACAUCAGUGGCAUUGAGGUUGAUGAUCUGGACGAGUGUAAGGCCAAGGAGGCGUUGUGUGUCUCUCCAGCCCUGUGUGCCAACACCUACGGAGGCUACAGGUGUGUCUGCAACGGCACUGAUCUGGAUGAAACCCAGUCCUGUGUAUUAGGGCGAGGCAAGGGGGGCGAUGUGGAGCUGGACCUUGUUCUGGGCCUGGUUCUGGGCAUCGGCAUCCCUCUGCUCCUGCUGCUCCUCCUGGCUGCACUGGCCUGCUUCUGCUGCUGCAAGAAGACUGUGACUGGGGACCUCCCCCACUUGUUGCCAGACCACAUCCAGGAGCAGCACAACCCCCCGCCCUUCAACUACUCGGACCCUGCCCUGCAGUACAUGACCCACUGCAGCCCUCGGAUCAUAGACAACAUCACACCCAGGCAGCGCCUCAGAUAG